CAAUAGCGUAUAUUAAAGUUGUUGCAGUUAAAAAGCUCGUAGUUGGAUCUGUGGUGUGCGGUGGGCUCCGGGCACUUGUUGUCUGAGUAGCUCGCCGCUGCCAUCCUUGGGUGGAACCUGUGUGGCAUUAGGUUGUCGUGCAGGGGAUGCCCAUCGUUUACUGUGAAAAAAUUAGAGUGUUCAAAGCAGGCUUAUGCCGUUGAAUAUAUUAGCAUGGAAUAAUGAGAUAGGACUUUUUCGCUAUUUUGUUGGUUUGCGCGAAGAGGUAAUGAUUAAUAGGGACAGUUGGGGGUAUUCGUAUUCCGUUGUCAGAGGUGAAAUUCUUGGAUUUACGGAAGACGAACUACUGCGAAAGCAUUUACCAAGGAUGUUUUCAUUAA
rnacentral:rRNA from 1 species